UAAAGAAAUUAGUUAAAUUAUAAUAAAAAUUUGUCAAAUUUUAGUUACUUAUAAAGUAUUUCUUU
rnacentral:tRNA from 1 species